UACGUAGGGUGCGAGCGUUGUCCGGAAUUAUUGGGCGUAAAGAGCUCGUAGGCGGCUUGUCGCGUCGGAUGUGAAAGCCCGGGGCUUAACUCCGGGUCUGCAUUCGAUACGGGCAGGCUAGAGUUCGGUAGGGGAGAUCGGAAUUCCUGGUGUAGCGGUGAAAUGCGCAGAUAUCAGGAGGAACACCGGUGGCGAAGGCGGAUCUCUGGGCCGAUACUGACGCUGAGGAGCGAAAGCGCGGGGAGCGAACAGG
rnacentral:rRNA from 1 species